rnacentral:rRNA from 1 species
AUUGAACGCUGGCGGCAGGCCUAACACAUGCAAGUCGAACGAGUGGCGGACGGGUGAGUAAUGUCUGGGAAACUGCCUGAUGGAGGGGGAUAACUACUGGAAACGGUAGCUAAUACCGCAUACCAUCAGCUGUGCCCAGAUGGGAUUAGCUUGGUGGUGGGGUAACGGCUCACCCAGGCGCCGAUCCCUAGCUGGUCUGAGAGGAUGACCAGCCACAUCGGACCUGAGACACGGUCCAGACUCCUACGGGAGGCAGCAGUUGGGAAGAGUGAACAAUGGGCGAAAGCAGGAUGCAGCCAUGCCGCGUGUAUGAAGAAGGCUUUCGGGUUGUAAAGUACUUUCAGCGGGGAGGCGUUACCCGCAGAAGAAGCACCGGCUAACUCCGUGCCAGCAGCCGCGGUAAUAC